CCUACGGGAGGCAGCAGUGGGGAAUAUUGCGCAAUGGGGGAAACCCUGAUGCAGCGACGCCGCGUGAGUGAAGAAGUAAUUCGUUAUGUAAAGCUCUAUCAGCAGGGAAGAAAAUGACGGUACCUGAGUACGAAGCCCCGGCUAACUACGUGCCAGCAGCCGCGGUACUACGGCGGGGGCAGGGGUUAUCCGGAUUUACUGGGUGUAAAGGGGGCGUAGACGGCAGUGCAAGUCUGGAGGGAAAGGCGGGGGCUCAACCCCCGGACUGCUCUGGAAACUGUACGGCUGGAGUGCAGGAGAGGUAAGUGGAAUUCCUAGUGUAGCGGUGAAAUGCGUAGAUAUUAGGAGGAACACCAAUGGCGAAGGCAGCUUACUGGACUGUAACUGACGCUGAGGCUCGAAAGCGUGGGGAGCAAACAGGAUUAGAUACCCCGGUAGUC
rnacentral:rRNA from 1 species